AGUGAACGCUGGCGGUAGGCCUAACACAUGCAAGUCGAACGGCAGCACAGUAAGAGCUUGCUCUUACGGGUGGCGAGUGGCGGACGGGUGAGGAAUACAUCGGAAUCUACUUUUUCGUGGGGGAUAACGUAGGGAAACUUACGCUAAUACCGCAUACGACCUACGGGUGAAAGCAGGGGAUCUUCGGACCUUGCGCGAUUGAAUGAGCCGAUGUCGGAUUAGCUAGUGGGCGGGGUAAAGGCCCACCAAGGCGACGAUCCGUAGCUGGUCUGAGAGGAUGAUCAGCCACACUGGAACUGAGACACGGUCCAGACUCCUACGGGAGGCAGCAGUGGGGAAUAUUGGACAAUGGGCGCAAGCCUGAUCCAGCCAUACCGCGUGGGUGAAGAAGGCCUUCGGGUUGUAAAGCCCUUUUAUUGGGAAAGAAAAGCAGCAGGUUAAUACCCCGCUGUUCUGACGGUACCCAAAGAAUAAGCACCGGCUAACUUCGUG
rnacentral:rRNA from 1 species